ACGGAAGGCAGCAGUGGGGAAUAUUGGGCAAUGGGCGGAAGCCUGACCCAGCAACGCCGCGUGAAGGAAGAAGGCCUUCGGGUUGUAAACUUCUUUUACCAGGGACGAAGGACGUGACGGUACCUGGAGAAAAAGCCACGGCUAACUACGUGCCAGCAGCCGCUGUAAUACGUAGGUUGCAAGCGUUGUCCGGAUUUACUGGGUGUAAAGGGCGUGUAGGCGGAGCUGUAAGUCAGAUGUGAAAUCCCGGGGCUCAACCACGGAACUGCAUUUGAAACUGUAGCCCUUGAGUAUAGGAGAGGCAAGCGGAAUUCCUAGUGUAGCGGUGAAAUGCGUAGAUAUUAGGAGGAACACCAGUGGCGAAGGCGGCUUGCUGGACGACAACUGACGCUGAGGCGAGAAAGCGUGGGGAGCAAACAGGAUUAGAUACCCUGGUA
rnacentral:rRNA from 1 species